CCUACGGGAGGCAGCAGUGGGGAAUAUUGGACAAUGGGCGAAAGCCUGAUCCAGCCAUGCCGCGUGUGUGAAGAAGGCCUUCGGGUUGUAAAGCACUUUCAGUGGGGAAGAAAGCCUUGGGGCUAAUACCCUCGAGGAAGGACAUCACCCACAGAAGAAGCACCGGCUAACUCCGUGCCAGCAGCCGCGGUAAUACGGAGGGUGCGAGCGUUAAUCGGAAUUACUGGGCGUAAAGCGCGCGUAGGCGGUCUGAUAAGCCGGUUGUGAAAGCCCCGGGCUCAACCUGGGAACGGCAUCCGGAACUGUCAGGCUAGAGUGCAGGAGAGGAAGGUAGAAUUCCCGGUGUAGCGGUGAAAUGCGUAGAGAUCGGGAGGAAUACCAGUGGCGAAGGCGGUCUUCUGGACUGACACUGACGCUGAGGUGCGAAAGCGUGGGUAGCAAACAGGAUUAGAUACCCCGGUAGUC
rnacentral:rRNA from 1 species